rnacentral:rRNA from 1 species
CCUACGGGUGGCAGCAGUGAGGAAUAUUGGUCAAUGGUCGGAAGCCUGAACCAGCCAAGUAGCGUGCAGGAUGACGGCCCUACGGGUUGUAAACUGCUUUUAUACGGGAAUAACGCGCCUUACGUGUAGGGCUUUGCAUGUACCUUAUGAAUAAGGACCGGCUAAUUCCGUGCCAGCAGCCGCGGUAAUACGGAAGGUCCGGGCGUUAUCCGGAUUUAUUGGGUUUAAAGGGGGCGUAGGCGGGAUGUCAAGCGUGCUGUGAAAUGUCCGGGCUCAACCCGGGCCUUGCAGGGGGAACUGGCGUGCGUGAGUCCGCGGAAAGCAGGCGGAAUUCGUGGUGUAGCGGUGAAAUGCUUAGAUAUGACGAAGAACCCCGAUUGCGAAGGCAGCUUGCUGCAGCGGAACUGACGCUGAUGCUCGAAAGCGCGGGUAUCGAACAGGAUUAGAUACCCGGGUAGUC